AGAGCCAUCGUGGCAGCCCUGGGCCUCCAUUUCAGACGUUCAUCUUGCCUAAGCCACCACCAUCAGGGUCUCAGUCAGUCAUCAUUCUCAUUUACUCGGGUGGCUGGGUGAGGGCGGAAUACUACCUUCCAGCUGUCUGAGAUUAAGCCUAAGCCACCACCAUCAGGGUCUCAGUCAGUCAUCAUUCUCAUUUACUCGGGUGGCUGGGCGAGGGCGGAAUACUACCUUCCAGCUGUCUGAGAUUAAGCAGAACAGCAGCUAAAGCAGUAACAGCAGGUCUCCUUCAGCAGCUUGCCACAGGGAAGAGGGUCCCGCGUGAACCGAACUCAACUUCCACCUGCGCAGAGGUAGCUACCAUUUGCGUAGAGGUAGCUGGGUCUUUAAGGCUGGAGUAUAGUGGCAUGAUCAUAGAUCACUGCAGCCUCAAACUCCUGGGCUCAAGCGAUCCUCCCACCUCAGCCUCCAUAUAGCUGGUGGGGACCAAGUUUCUAACACAUGAAUGUUGGGAGACACAUUCAGACCAUCGCAGUGGCCUUAUAAAAAGAGACACAAGAGCUUGCUCUCUGCCAUGUGAGAAUACCACAAGAAGACUGUCCUCAGCAAAUCAGAAAGCGGGUGGACCCUCAUCAGACACCAGAUGUGCCUGCACCUUGAUCUUGGACUUGCCAGCCUUCAGAACAGUAAGAAAGAAAUGUGUGUUGUUUAAGCCACCCAGUCUAUGGUAACUUGCUAUAGCAGCCCACUAGGAGACCCCAAGAUAUUUAAAAACUCAUCAGCACCUGCUUUCUGCAUCUGGACCCUGAUCUUCUGGUGGGUUUACCAGUUACUUGUAGAGUGUCCCUGUGAUAGUUUUAGGUGUCAACUUGACAGGAUUGAGGGAUGCCUAGAUGGCUGGGGAAGCACUGUUUCUGAGAAGGACCAUGUUUUUGGAGGAGACUGUUUUAUGAGUGAAUUUCAGGGGACACAUUCAGAUCAUGGCAGUGGCAUUAUAAAGAGAGACACAAAAGCUUGCUCUCUCUCUCUGCCAUGUAAGACUACCACACAAAGACUGCCAUCUGCAAACCAGAAGCAGGUGGGCUUUCCUCAGACACCAGAUCUGCCUGCACCUUGAUCUUGGACUUGCCAGCCUUCAGAACUCUAAGAAAGAAAUGGUAGCAUGGCUUGGUCUAAGUUGGAAGGCCUGAGAAACAAGCACAUGGUGGAACUGAGUUCAAGGAUAAAGACUUGAGAAUACCUGCUCAGUGGACUGAGUAGGGAAGAUCAACCCUCAAUGUAGGCAGGCACUAUCCAAUCACCUGAGGGCCCAGAUGGAACAAAAAGGUGGAAGAAGGGUGAAUUCUCUCUUCCAGAGCUGUGACACCCUUCUCAUGCCCUUGUACCACACAACUCUAGGUCCUUUGGCCUUUGGACUCUGACACUUGCACCAGUGGCCCUCUGGGGCUCUCAAGCCUUUAGCCUUGAACUUAGUUACACCAUGUGCCUCCUUGUUUCUCAGGCCUUCCAACUUGGAUCAGGCCAUGCCACCGGCUUCUCUGAUUCUCCAGCUUGCAGAUGGUAUAUUGUGACCCUGGCAUUUAAUAACUAUGACUUUGGUCUUAAGCAAUUUUCUUCCUCUGUGGAUUGAUAUUUACAUAUCAAUGUGGAUAAUAAUUUCUUACCACGGUAACUGUUGUGAGGUAAAAAUGAGUUAACAUAAGUAAAACCGAGCACAUGCAAACCAUCCGAAAUGGUUAAUACUUACUAUUUGUACUUGAAGAAAUAAAUGUUUUUGACAAUAAA
rnacentral:lncRNA from 1 species